rnacentral:rRNA from 1 species
AUGGGCAACGCCGGGAGCGCGGGCUCGCCGGAGCAGGCGAAGAAGCCGGAGCAGGCCGACGGCGGGGGCGGGGGCGGGGCCCCGCCGUCCACGGUGCGGUUCUUCCCCGCCGCCGCGCAGCACACGGCCAGGCAGCCGCCGCCGAUUAAGCUGGAGGGGGAGGACCUGCCGCCGCCGCCGGCCGAGGGCGUGGAGGAGGACAUGGCCGCCCCCCGCAACCUCUGGCAGGUGUACGCGCUGGGAGCGUUCCUCGUGGCGCGAUGGGGCUGGGCCAAGUGGCAGGAGAGCAAGGACCGAGACGACUCCGCGGAUGGCCAGUUGCCGCCGCCGGCUGCUUCAUCCUAG